GGCCAGUUGGCUCAGUUGGUUAUAGAGCACUGUGCUCAUAACACCGAGGUCAUGGGUUCGAUUCCCACAUGGGCCA